rnacentral:piRNA from 1 species
UAAAACCUCUAAUGUGCAAAACCAAGACCAA